GCUUGUCUCAAAGAUUAAGCCAUGCAUGUCUAAGUAUAAGCAACUAUACUGUGAAACUGCGAAUGGCUCAUUAAAUCAGUUAUCGUUUAUUUGAUAGUACCUUACUACAUGGAUAACCGUGGUAAUUCUAGAGCUAAUACAUGCUAAAAACCCCGACUUCGGAAGGGGUGUAUUUAUUAGAUAAAAAACCAAUGCCCUUCGGGGCUCUGUGGUGAUUCAUAAUAACUUAACGAAUCGCAUGGCCUUGCGCCGGCGAUGGUUCAUUCAAAUUUCUGCCCUAUCAACUUUCGAUUGUACGGUAGUGGCGUACAAUGGUAUUGACGGGUAACGGAGAAUUAGGGUUCGAUUCCGGAGAAGGAGCCUGAGAAACGGCUGCUACAUCCAAGGAAGGCAGCAGG
rnacentral:rRNA from 1 species